rnacentral:rRNA from 1 species
AGAACGAACGCUGGCGGCGUGGAUAAGACAUGCAAGUCGAACGCGACUUAUUUUAUUAGCAAUAACAGAGUAAGUUGAGUGGCGAAAGGGUGCGUAACACGUGGGAAUUUACCAAGAAGUGGGGAAUAGCUCGACGAAAGUCGAAUUAAUACCGCAUGUGAUCGAAAGAUCAAAGCCGGGGACCGCAAGGCCUGGCGCUUUUUGAGAAGCCCGCGGCCCAUCAGCUAGUUGGUGAGGUAAUGGCUCACCAAGGCUAUGACGGGUAGCUGGUCUGAGAGGACGACCAGCCACACUGGAACUGAGACACGGUCCAGACACCUACGGGUGGCAGCAGUCGAGAAUUUUUCACAAUGGACGAAAGUCUGAUGGAGCGACGCCGCGUGGAGGAUGAAGGUUCUUGGAUUGUAAACUCCUGUCACUGCAGAACAAGGGUGCGUUAUUUAAAGAUGGCGCAUUUGAUGGUAUGCGGAGAGGAAGGGACGGCUAACGUCUGUGACCG